rnacentral:rRNA from 1 species
UACAGAGGCCUCAAGCGUUGUUCGGAUUCAUUGGGCGUAAAGGGCGCGUAGGCGGCAAGGCAAGUCGGGUGUGAAAGCUUGGGGCUUAACCCCGAAAGGGCACUCGAAACUGCGUUGCUAGAGGGCCGGAGAGGAGAUCGGAAUUCACGGUGUAGCAGUGAAAUGCGUAGAGAUCCGGAGGAACACCAAAGGCGAAGGCAGUGUCCUGGGGAGUACCUGACACUCAGGUGCGAAAGCCAGGGGAGCGAACGGG